rnacentral:misc_RNA from 1 species
AAAACAUUUUAAAGUGUUGACUCUUUAUGGAGAGGACCCCAUUAUAGCUUAAUUUACAUGUGCAAUUAAGUUGUUGUAAUCAGAAGUAUGUGUAUUGCAUCAACGAUCAACUGUGUAAUGCAUAAUAAUAAUAAUAGGAUCUACAAUGAUUUCAUUGAUUUUCAUGGACAUUAAUCUGAGUGGAUUUAGCGAAAUAUUUAUUUUCAAAGAUACAUAAGUUUGUGGACAAUGGCUUUACCGAUACAAACUUUAUUAUUUUCUUUUUCACUUCAAUCAUUAUUUGAUUUUGAGGAUUGGCAAAACAACAAAAUCCAAAAACUGUUGCUCAACAAAUAACAGUGAAAAAUGUUUAUCUUUAUUUCUAUCCUUUGUAAUGCUAGUCAUCAACUAGAACUAAUUGUCUGCAUUGAUGACAAUAGUUUAGAGGUCCCCAAAAUAAUUACCAUAGUCUGUUAAAAGGAAUAUUUUUUUUAAACAUAUAAUUAUGAUGUUUGUCAUACCUUUUUUUACUCUUUUUCUUACUGUUAACACAUUUGUUUUUAUGUGCACUUCAGAUUUUUAUCUACACAAACAUAGUCAAUUUCUUUGUGAUAUUAUUUUUUCUGUGGCAUAAUUGAAUCGAUGUGCAGCUCCAUGUAUGGAGAAAACACAGGGUUAAUUUAUUAAAUGUCAGAAAUAUUUAUUUUUUACAUUAGUUGGUAGUUCUCCCAUAAAAAAUGAUUAGAGCACUAUAUUGACUUAUGAACAUCCUUAUAAAUUACUUUGAUUUCUAUGCUGUUAUUAAAAACUAUGUCAAAUAAAACUGAAAAUCU